rnacentral:rRNA from 1 species
GACAGAGGGUGCAAACGUUGUUCGGAAUUACUGGGCGUAAAGCGCGUGUAGGCGGCUAUGUAAGUCGGGCGUGAAAUCCCAUGGCUCAACCAUGGAAGUGCACCCGAAACUGCGUAGCUAGAGUCCUGGAGAGGAAGGUGGAAUGCUUGGUGUAGAGGUGAAAUUCGUAGAUAUCAAGCGGAACACCGGUGGCGAAGGCGGCCUUCUGGACAGUGACUGACGCUGAGACGCGAAAGCGUGGGGAGCAAACGGG